UCUGCGUUGGUUUGCGCCAGGUAUACGCAUAGUUUUCAGGCAAGGAAAGAAGUCUCAAUACUAUUAGUUGACAAGAUUAAUGUUUAUACUGUCGCCUAUUUUUCAACUCCAUAAUCUUAAGCUAGGUUUUAAAAGUUCAUUAUUAAUAGUUAGAUGUGCGUAGACCUCAGAAACACAUAAAAUGAAUGGUGCUUCAGAAGUACGCGCACCAGGAUGUUGUACAACCUGAAUCCUAACCGGUACAUACAUACCAUUUUCAGGUUGUGCGCAUACUUCUGGAGGUCCAAAUGAGUUUUCUUAAUUCGAUACGCUUUUGUUUCUGCCAUAUUCAUAUUUCUGAUUGUCAUUUUGAGUGUUAUAUGAUUAUAGUUUCUGUAAUCUUAUAUUUUCAUUGUACAUGAUUUACUCAACAUGUAUUUUGUUUUCAUUUUGCGCGAGCACAUCGUUCCUAAUUUAUAAUAAAAUUAUUUACGUUUGUUAGGCCUAAAUGGCACUUUUUGAUGUAAUGUGAGCUGCUGAGCUUCUCGGAACCUAUAUCUCUUAGCUGUUGCUUCAAACGACAAUUUUCCAAUGUAUUUUAUUUUUUGCUUUUAAUUGGCUGAAUUGUUCGAUACUAAUUUGCUAAGCUAUAAAGUGAGUCCUGACUAAUACUCUAAAUUACAGGCUUGAAGAAAGAAGUGAAAGAAAACCUAUAUCGACAUAUGAUAUCAACACGAUUGAUGGUCGAGUCAAAGUUGACUGAUGUAAAUGGCAAGAAAACAUACGGCGAAUACAAAAUGAAUUUUUGAAGACAAAUGGCAACUGCAGUUUGUCAUUUGUCCCGGGACAAAGUUACAAUUGGACUGGGUGUACAGAGUAG